GAUGAACGCUGGCGGCGUGCCUAAUACAUGCAAGUCGAGCGAACAGAUAAGGAGCUUGCUCCUUUGACGUUAGCGGCGGACGGGUGAGUAACACGUGGGUAACCUACCUAUAAGACUGGGAUAACUUCGGGAAACCGGAGCUAAUACCGGAUAACAUUUGGAACCGCAUGGUUCUAAAGUGAAAGAUGGUUUUGCUAUCACUUAUAGAUGGACCCGCGCCGUAUUAGCUAGUUGGUAAGGUAACGGCUUACCAAGGCAACGAUACGUAGCCGACCUGAGAGGGUGAUCGGCAACACUGGAACUGAGACACGGUCCAGACUCCUACGGGAGGCAGAAGUAGGGAAUCUUCCGCAAUGGGCGAAAGCCUGACGGAGCAACGCCGCGUGAGUGAUGAAGGGUUUCGGCUCGUAAAACUCUGUUAUUAGGGAAGAACAAAUGUGUAAGUAACUGUGCACGUCUUGACGGUACCUAAUCAGAAAGCCACGGCUAACUACGUG
rnacentral:rRNA from 1 species